CUCGCAACAAUCCAACGGAGAGUCUUUGGUGACGAGCAGCCGAGCCGAGAGGUGUCAGUCUUUGUUGCCUUAAAAGCUGUGAUUACAAAAGCAAUAUUGGAAAUUGAAUUUCCGGAAGUCUACAUUUCAAAGUUUUCAAAUCAACCGCAGGUCAAUAUCUAAACGAGCAAUUAUGGAAAAAGAAGCCGGUAAUAUAAUAAGUGUUAUUAUGACAGAGUGGGUUCUCUCUUAGGGCAAAGAAUAAGAGCUUCUCUUCCUCCCUUUUUUAUUCUUCACUUCAUUGUUCCUGUAAUUUGCUCUUUUCGUCGUUAAAAUCAUUUUGAGUUACAGGUGAUUCAAUUUCUCAUGUCUGUGCUGUCACAUCCUCCUCUCCACCCCCUCCCCUCCUCACCUGCUGUCAGUCUUUGGCGUUUUCCAUCUUCCAUUUCAUCUUUUCAGGCCAGUCAGCGGCGGAUAAUGAGGUCUGUGGCCCGGCCCUGUGCCCCCCCCGACUCGCUGAGCACCGUCAGAAAAGACUCAAGACUUUGCAGUUGCAUCACAAAGGUCUUACAGGAACCUUCUCUGCUGUUGUGAAGGGAUCCACUGGGAAAAAGAAAUGGAGCCAGAAUAUCCCGGGUACGAACUCUGCCAUCUUGCACUGAUGACGUCAUUCUGGAGCUGGAGUCUGGAGGAGCGAUGGAGAUUCACCCGCUCAACCAAUCGCCAGAAAAGGUUCAGGAGCUUCUGUCGGCCCUGAGCAGCGUCUCCUCACAAGCAACCUCCACCAAGACGAUACCCGUGUGUUACCUGAGAGGCAAAAUCCAGCGGACAAGAGAUGAAAGCUAAUUACGCGGCGUGGCGAGGAGCCGGGGCGGCGCGCGCGAUGCAGGAAACGGGGAGCCGAGGUGGUUAAUUGGGGU